ACAACUGUAGCGUAUUGGUAGCGCGACGGGUAUUUGGCAUCUGUAGGAGUUGGUUCGAUUCCAACCAGUUGUU